rnacentral:tRNA from 1 species
GUCUCAUUAGUAUAUUAGUAUGUUUGACUUCCAAUCAGAUGGUUCUUGUAGCUAGUCAAGAAUGGGAUA